AUUGAACGCUGGCGGCAUGCCUUACACAUGCAAGUCGAACGGUAACAGGUCUUCGGAUGCUGACGAGUGGCGAACGGGUGAGUAAUACAUCGAAACGUGCCUAGUAGUGGGGGAUAACUACUCGAAAGAGUGGCUAAUACCGCAUGAGAUCUACGGAUGAAAGCAGGGGAUCGCAAGACCUUGUGCUACUAGAGCGGCCGAUGGCAGAUUAGGUAGUUGGUGGGAUAAAAGCUUACCAAGACGACGAUCUGUAGCUGGUCUGAGAGGACGAUCAGCCACACUGGGACUGAGACACGGCCCAGACUCCUACGGGCGGCAGCAGUGGGGAAUUUUGGACAAUGGGCGCAAGCCUGAUCCAGCAAUGCCGCGUGCAGGAUGAAGGCCUUCGGGUUGUAAACUGCUUUUGUACGGAACGAAAAGCCCUGGGUUAAUACCCUGGGGUCAUGACGGUACCGUAAGAAUAAGCACCGGCUAACUACGUGCCAGCCGCCGCAGUAA
rnacentral:rRNA from 1 species